AUACGUAGGUGACAAGCGUUAUCCGGAUUUACUGGGCGUAAAGGGCGUGUAGGCGGUCUUGCAAGUCAGAAGUGAAAUUCCUGAGCUCAACUCGGGCGCUGCUUCUGAAACUGCGGGACUUGAGUGCUGGAGGGGAUAGCGGAAUUCCUGGUGGCGCGGUAAAAGGCGCAGAUAUUAGGAAGAACACCGGUGGCGAAGGCGGCUAUCUGGACAGUAACUGACGCUGAGGCGCGAAAGCGUGGAGAGCAAACAGGAUUAGAUACCCUGGUAGUCCACGCUGUAAACGAUGAAUACUAGGUGUGGGGGGACUGACCCCCUCCGUGCCGCAGUUAACACAAUAAGUAUUCCGCCUGGGGAGUACGGCCGCAAGGUUGAAACUCAAAUGAAUUGGCGGGG
rnacentral:rRNA from 1 species